UUAGCACUUAUGGCAAUAAACCAUAUAGUGCCGUUAUCAGAGGGCACAUGAAGUAUUGGUGUUGUGCAACCUGACGCCUAUUUGGCGAAAGUGAUAAUCGAGUUAUCUCCCUUGCUAAAGGAAGAAAACUUUGUGAAGAUCAGCCAGAGAGUUAUCAGGCUAAGUUUAUCAAAAAUUUACUUGCUUAAAUACUUUAUUUCUUCAAUAUUCAGAUGUAAUACAUUUCAAUGAUAUUUGAUGAUAUAUUGUCAGUGUAAAAAUUGCUUAUAUUAAUAAUGUGUACCGGUUGAUGGCACCGGAUCGUUGUUCAAUACAUGAAAUGGCGUGGUCGGCCAUAUUUCUUCAUAUCUCGUAUAUGAUAUAUUUGAGACCUCUGAUGAUAGUCAAACAAAUCUUCAAGCCAUCGGAAUGAAAUAUCUGGCUCAACAAUUUUGAGAUUCAGUCAAUUGUAGCAUAUUUUGUCGCACCGUGCUUAUGUUUAAAUCAAACGCCGAUGGUCGACUCGUCCCAAUCGCACCACGUUGGGUCGAGUUGUCUUUUAUUCAAAUUUGGUCUUUGUCGGACUUAACCGAUGGCAUCACGGAUAUAGGGUCGAGUUGUCUUUUAUUGAAAUUAGGUCAAGGUAUGUUAUAUUGAUUAUGGAUCUUAAAGCUUGGAAGCAAUUCAUAAAAGUUGAUACUUUAAUAAUAUAUGAAAUUACCCGUAUACUCUAUUCAUCUGCUAUAAUAUCAAAACAGCAAUCAUGUAGUGGAGCAGAAAACGUAGGACAGGGGGUACCAUGGAUCCAGCUGUUAGUCAACCGGAGGAGGCUACAGUACAGCAACCGUUGGUGUCAGCUGAGAAUGUGAGGCCACAGUCGGUUCAACAGGAACAGAUCACAGCUGGCAAUUAACAGACAUCAAGGGAACCUGAGUACAUAUGCAAUGGCGGUGGUGUGAGAAGGCAGGAUAGUCACAGCUCCUGACCCCUUUUCGACGACGGAUUCACAGCCCCAAGUGAAAACUAUUCCUUAGUGACGGGCAUUGUGACGAACUUCUAUUCCUUAUUGACGAGCAUUGUGACCAGCUUCAAAUGGCGGAUUUCGCGUUAUAAACUUUCAGAAGUCAAUUUGACUUGUUCAGAUUUCGCGGAAAGGCAUAUUUCGCGGUACAAGCAUUUAUUGGUGAUUAUUGAGUUAUUGAUUGAUAUUGAUUGAUGUAUAUUGCGCAUAUUGAUGCGAAUCAGUUGAUAUCUGUUUCCCAGUAUCUACUAAUCAGUAUUGUCAUCUGAUUGAUUUGUAGUCAGCUGAAAUCUGUUUCCCAGGAUCAGCUGAUUAAUUGAUUUGAAUUGUUGUUGAAUUGGUUGAGAACUGUUUCCCAGGAUCAUCUGAUUAAUUGAUUUGAAUUGUAUUGUUUAAUUGGUUGAGAACUGUUUCCCAGAAUCAAUCGAUUAAUUUGUUUGAUUGAAAUUGAAUUUAUUGUUGGCGUGCCAUUAUGGUCUAUUGACAGACCGGCCGCCAUAUCUUUGCAAUAAAGCUGUGACCAUAAAUCCAAA